rnacentral:rRNA from 1 species
UACGUAGGGGGCGAGCGUUGUCCGGAUUUACUGGGCGUAAAGCGCGCGUUAGGCGGGAGAGGCAGUCCGGUGUGAAAGCCCACGGCUCAACCGUGGAAGGUCGCUGGAAACUCCUCUUCUUGAGGUCGACAGAGGGAAGUGGAAUUGCUGGUGUAGCGGUGAAAUGCGUAGAUAUCAGCAGGAACACCCGUGGCGAAGGCGGCUUCCUGGGUCGGUACUGACGCUGAGACGCGAAAGCGUGGGGAGCAAACAGG